ensembl:lncRNA
CUUUAAAUAAUUAGGAAUCUUAGAAGGAAAGGACAGAACUCUGCUUAUCGGUGCUCGUGCCUUGGAGGGAAAACCGGGAUGGACAUUUUUUCCUUCAAUUUGGCGUCAGAAGUGGGAUCCGCUGACAGAAGGUAAAUAUGCGUCUUUCAUAUUUAUAUAAAGACCGUAUUAUACCUCUCUCAGUGAUCGAUCCAUAAAAAAACGGGAUAUGCUGACGAAGUUUCACUUAGUGAUCCAGAGAGAUACACUGACGACUUCCUCAGUCCCCGAAUAAAGUAAAUUAACCCUUGUGUGGUGUUGGUGGACACAGGAAGUUGCCUGUUGUCUUGAAUAUUUUAAUUUUGUUAAAAAAAAUAAAUAAUAAUAAUAAUUAAUUGUUUAAUUAAACGUACGUUAAAAAGUGAGAAGUUGCUCACUCAGAAAAAGUGACACAGGAAGUUGCCUGUUAGAAAGCUAGUAAAUAAUUAAAUUUAAUUUUGUUAAAAAAAAAAAAAAAAAAAAAAACGAAAGAAAACUGAAAACGGGUCUCACAGACCCGAUUACCAUACAAGGGUUAAAAGCAGUAAAUUAAAAGCAGAAAGACACAGGAAGUUGCCUGUUGUUUUACGAGAAGUUGCUCGCUAAGCGAGAAGUUGCUCGCUAAGUGAGAGUUGCUCACACAAACAAAAAAUUGCUAGCAAUAAAUUUAGAGUGACCUCAGCUGUGCCGCAGCGAAAAUACUAACAUAAAUCCUCCUAGCGUGUAAACCCCUCUGGAAAUCACUGAACAUGGGUCAGAAUUAUUCAAAGACCACAGACAGGUCCGAUAAAAAAAUCUAAAGUACCUGUAAAACCAAAAAAUUAAUAAAAUACAAAAUAAAGUCUCAAAUAACGGCUCAGUACGACUCCCAUUUCCGGUUACGUGUAACCCACGUCCACGAAUCGGCGAAGACUUCCAUGAUCACGUAUCCAGAACAUGCGGAAGUGCUUAUGUGACUGACUUUGUUUACAACUUACGGACUGUAAUUCAAUGCAUUCUAAUUUCUUUUUGGAGCCUUAUCCCGAACGAUUAUCGCCAGAAAACAGGUCAGUAGAAAUGUUGAAUACCAUUUGUGAUAAGAAAAGUAGUCUGCUUAAAAAGUCCUGUAGAAAAUACAUGAUAGAAUGCCGCGAUGUGAUACAUCAAAUGUUACCACUAUGGAAAAAGGGACCGGAACCAGGUGUAGAUGCUUUAACAUCAAAUAAAACUAGUGCAGGCUCCAGCAUAGAAAAUAAAUCUACUGCGGGAAAAGCUAGUCUUGCAUGCUCAGCCAUUCAGCCCACAGCCCCGCCGCCUUACGAAGAUGAGACCGAAUUAAUAGUUGCUGCCGCAGCCGCAUGCAAACAACGUCAGCGCUUUGAUCCAACCAGCUUAAAAGACAGUGACAAAAAAACCUGAAUCACAUGCAACGGAUCUUAGCCAUCUCUUUAAACAGGAUCAGGAAAAACAAUAUAUACGCCGCAAGGAAGAAUUAGCAGAACAUAAAAAAAGAGAAAAACUUUUGAAAGAAGAAUGUGAGGAACUUAUGAAAAACAAUUUAGACGACUAUGAAGAAAAACUUUUGCAUCAGGCAGUGUCCACGAUAGACACCCACAUGAAACGCCACGAUAUCGUAGCUAGAGGUUUAGAGGUAGCUAAAGAAAUACCUGUUACCCGAACUUUAAUAAAGACUUAUCUAAAAGGAAAAAAAGGAAAAACAAAGCCGGAAUGACAAAGGUCCUUACGCCAACACUCGCGGUAGUAAACAAACAGACCCAAAAUCUAGUGACGUCAAUGACACUUACCCCUUUAUGAUAAUAGGAGAUCAGUGUUGUAAGCAGCCCCCUAAAAUCUCAGAAUUAGUGACAACUAUUAAAGAGCUUCCCGAUCCUCUUAAAAAUCCUACAGCCUUUGUCUCUGCACUACAGAGAAGUACCAGAUAUCACCAUUUGGGUGGUCCGGAUUACAGGUACAUAUUGUGUCAAUGCAUUCCUGGAGUAACCGAGUCACAACUCAUAAGAGAGAUAGGUGAAUUAGACCCAAAGCAUGAUAAAGCAUCCACAACUGCAGAGUUUUUGUGGGUAAAUAAUGACAAAAUCACCGAUUUCUUUAAGAAUCUAAAGGAAUUCCUGCUAACAAUGUCCAGAGACAAAAUUGACUUAAAUGCAGUAACUAUGUGUAAACAGAAGCCUGAUGAAUCUAUCCUAGUAUUCAUAAAACGCUUUAUGCACUGUUGGACAAGCUAGAGGUGAUAAAUUUAGCUCAGUUUUCCAGCAGCCGCAGACACCCAGAGCAAAAAUGAAUUUGUGUAUUUCAUUUAACAUAAAGGGUGAAAUGUUUGCUGACACUGAUAACAGCUUAUGUUUUCUCUGCCCUAUGUACCGACAUGAUGGAGAAGGAACAUCCUCUGUGUCAGCUGGACCCUCAGCAGAGAAUGAACUCAACAUCCUUUUUGUCCGGUACUCUAUGUCACACACUAUGCCAAAAAAAAAAAAAACGUGUACAGACGCCACUAACAGGUAAUCCCAUGACUGGGAGCCACACUUUUGUUUCUCUAAGGUCAAACAGUGAUUUUGUCACAUAACUCAGACAUAGUUUAUGAUAUAACUACACCAUGUCAUCACAUACAUCUAACCUACCCUAUCCACUGUACUAUUUCUGCAGUUACAUUGCCAGCUGAAUACCAGAAUAUGACAUUAUGGUCUAAAAGUGAGAAUGAUAUAGGAUUUAUUGACUGUACACUUUAUCACGUACACCUAUUAAAACACAACAAGC